UACAGGGGGUGCAAACGUUGCUCGGAAUUACUGGGCGUAAAGCGCACGCAGGUGGCUGAGUCAGUCGAUUGUGAAAGCCCUGGGCUUAACCUGGGAAUUGCAGGUCGAUACUACUCAGCUAGAGUAUGGGAGAGGGCAGUGGAAUUCCCGGUGUAGCGGUGAAAUGCGUAGAUAUCGGGAGGAACAUCAGUGGCGAAGGCGGCUGCCUGGCCCAAUACUGACACUCAGGUGCGACAGCGUGGGGAGCAACAGG
rnacentral:rRNA from 1 species